GGGAACUCCACAAUUCUCUUUUAAUUAGAAAAAUGUUUGAUAAACCCAAAAUAAUUAAAACACCUAAUCAUGCUUCACACUUUGUCUUAUUACCCCACAGACCACAUGAGACAAGAGAAAGACCCCUCGAAACUUAUAUUCCAUUUGCUACAAUUGACCAUCUGGGGAAAGCAGACAAAGACCAAACUUCCAGAAACUUGGAGACAGGGAGAGCACAGAGGAUCUUCCGCUGCUCUCAUCGGGGGCAGGAGCCAAGCCUGGCAUUGUUGGAACUGGAGAGAGACGUGCUAGAGUGCAGAAUGUUCAUCGGGGUGAAUGGAAAGAUGUAGAAGAAAUGUGCUUACAAGGUCUGGACCUUAACCCUCUGAACCACCGCAGAACUCCACCACCCAUGUUUUAAACUGGGCUCUUUCCCAAGAUUUUACUGCUGUCCUGAGUGCACCCGCCAGCGGCAAGGGCACUGUCACCUUUCUUACACUCUGCCCCCUUCACCACGCCAGUGUUAAGACUUCAUCAAGCAAGCCUGGGAUCAUUUCUCCCUGCCUAACCUGGAUGGAGACCAGGAUGCUGUGUCCUACUGUG
rnacentral:lncRNA from 1 species